GGUGCAAGAUAGAACCCUGGAUGAUCGUACAGUGACAGUGAAUAACUGAGAAAGAGACUGGAACAUUGCUGAAGCUGGAGAACCAGAUGCAAGAGGAAGUGGAUGGAAGGAGAGAACACAGACGAGUCACAGGGAUGUCAGGAAGUAAUUUUUCAGUCUCAUGAUAGAAGGAAAGUGGAAUCAAAGCAGCAAUUCCGGUCGAUGAAGAUCAAGAAACCAGGAGCCAGGACUCGACCAACCCUCCUUGCAGACAAAAAUCUGACUACAAAUCGGGUUUUGCUUGGCAAAUAUAAAAACAUGGGCUCACAAACAAGCAUUCAGUUCAGCUCUGGCUACCUGAGAAGACACACCAGAAGAAGUGAAAUGGCAUCAAGAGGCUGCAAUCAUUCUCCAGAUACAUUCUGCUACAUAUGUGGUCAAUUCAUUAAGACAAGAGCAAAGAAGUUCUUUGUAACAGCAUCUAAAAAAAAUGUGUGAAGCUUACAAAGCAUAUUUUGGCAUGGCAGUUGAGGACCAAGACAAGACCUGGACACCUCUUGUUGCUUGUGAAAAUUGUAAGAAAACACUGGAGGGAUGAUAGAGGAGAAAAAAAAUGAGCUAUGAAGUUUACUGUUCCUAGAAUAUGACGUGAACCCACUGAUCACUCAACCAACUGCUGCUUCUGCCUGGUGGAUCCUUCCAAACACCGAACUGGAAAAAAUACGCCUGAUAUUUCUUAUCCAGACCUUCCCUCUUUUAUUGCACCAGUAUCACACAGUGCUGAUCUUCCUGUACCUAUACCUCCAGAAAGAAGUCAACUGUCAGAAGAAGAAAUCGGCAAAUCAGAAAAUGAAGAGCACAGUGAACAAGACUAUGAUCUCACGGAUGCAGCUGUUAGGAGGAAUCCUUACUACCCAAACCAACCAACCUCAAUGACCUUAUCAGAUAUCUUGGUUUGAUAAAGUCAAAUGCUGAGGUUUUGAUUUCAAGGCUCAUGGAGUGGGACUUGGUGGAUGGAAGUGUGCAAGUGACAAGCCAAAGAAAACGUCACUAACAUUUCUCAAGCUUCUUCACUAAUGAAGACAAGUUGUGCUACUGUAAUGAUGUAUCAGGCCUGUUUGAUGCAAUUGGAAUUGCAUGCCAUCCAGAUGAGUGGAGACUCUUGACAGCUCCUCCAAAAGCCUAAAAGCUGUACUUCUGCACAAUGGGAACAAGUAUCCAUCUCUUCCUUUGGCUCAUUCAGUGCAUCUUAAGGAGGACUACAACCGUGUCAAGCUUCUACUGGAAGCUUUAAACUGUGAUAAGUAUGGCUGGGAAGUUACUGGAGACUUCAAAAUGGUGGCAUUUUUGAUGGAACUCCAAGGAAGUUUUACCAAGUUUCCCUGUUAUCUCUGUCACUGGGAUAGAGACGGAGUAGCACAUUACCAGACGAAGCACUGGCCUCAAAGGACUGAGUUCUCAGUAGGAAGACAUAUCAAACAUAAACCAUUGGAUCCUCAGAAGGUUCUGUUCCCUCCAUUACACAUGAAACUAGGGCUAAUGAAGCAGUUUGUUACAGCUCUUGACAAAGAGUCUGCAGCUUUCAAGUAUCUUCAUGACUUAUUUCCCAAGCUAUCAGAGGCGAAGGUGAAGACUGGAAUCUUCACUGGACCACAGGUCAGGAAAAAUCAUGGAGUGCUCAGAAUUUCCAAAGAAGCUCACAGAGAAGGAAAAGGAAUCCUGGGAGAGUUUUGUUUCUGUAGCACAGGGCUUUCUGGGCAACAACAAGGCUGACAAUUAUGUGGAACUUAUUGAGACCUUGGUAAAAAGCUAUGGUCAGAUGGACUGUAGGAUGUCCCUCAAGGUCCAUGCCCUUGAUGAUCAUCUUGAAAAUUUCAAGGAGAAUAUGGGAGCAUACUCAAAGGAGCAAGGGGAGCGCUUCCACCAAGAUAUAAUGAACUUUGAACACAGAUAUCAGAGAUCUUAUAAUGAAAACAUGAUGGGAGACUACAUUUGCGGGCUUAAAGAAAAAGUGAUUUGUUGCAUGCUCGCAAAUCUAGAAAACUGCUUAUUUUUAACUUUGUAAAUAUGUUUCGGAAGUGUAAAAUAAAAUUUGUGUAAAUUUUAUUUAUGUAAAUUUUAUUUCUUUUAUUAUGUUCUUGUUUUACAUCCAAAACAAGGAAAAAUUAUUGAAAUUUAGCCAUUUUUUUUGUCAUAAAUUCAUCCUGUAAACCACAAAAGCAAAGCUUAAAAGGAAUAAUAGGCAUUUUCUAUUGUUUUGCAAUAAAAGGAGUAGGAAAAUAAUACU